UCCAGGAGGAGUUCCUCAGUUUGUACUGAGGUUUCAUCAUACCUACAGUUCUUCAUUUUACGGCUCUCGGUUCUCUGCUCCAAAAUUCACAUCCACUCAUCAGUCAACAACAGAUUAUCGUUUAAUCAUCAACAAUGUGGAGGAGGGAGACUCUGCAGUCUAUUACUGUAAGACAUGGGACAGCUCUGUUAAUGAGUUCGCAUCACAGUGAUUUACACUAUGACAAAAGCCUCCUCACGGAUACUUCUGCUUUUUGAGAUUUUUACAAAUACUGAUAACAAAGACAUCUUGGAAGCUCAGUCUAAACACACUACCUGUUAUUAUUUUUUUAGUGACAACCAUCAGACUAUUCAAAUAUUGUUUCACCAUAUGAUUGACUAAUACACACAAAAAGUUAUUGACAUAUGGCUCUUAAAUUAAUUUUGAUGAAUCAGAAAGUAGAUGUGUGAGGAUAAGCAUAUUACAGAUAAACAUUUGUUCUUCUCUAACUGCUUUCAUAAAAACACUUUUCAUGUCAGACAUGUGAAAAUGAAUAUGAACCAGAAUCACUGACGAUAAGAGUUCAAACAUAGAUUUUUGUACUCUGUAUUUUCAGGAUUCCCUUUUCCUCCUGAUGGUGGAAACACUUUAAUAUUUCUCUUUCUUUUUAAAAUAGCCAUCAACUGUUUUUGGUCAUCACAUCUGCAAACCUUCAUUCAUAAUUUUCUGAAACUUAGUUGCAUGAUCGCAAAAUUUAACAAAGGAUGGUUUACACAGAACUAAUGCUGAAACAACUUGAUUGGCACCUUUUGAGAAACUUUAAAAUCUAACAAUACUUGAUUUAAAAUUUGAAUAAAAUCAGAAAGAUAAAGUGUUAAAUAUAGCAAAUAAAAAAUUCUUUCUUAAGUAGUACAUGAGUAUAAAAGUGAUUAUAAAAUUUAAAAAAACAAUUAAAAAAGAAAGAAAUUACGAUGAUCACAUUUUACUGGAGUGACAGACAGGAGACAUUGUCACCACCAAUAGCUGUAAAUGUAGUCAAGACAAAAAUUAUACAUAUUUUCAAAGCUCCUCCUCCUGUUUGUUGUUUUAUAAAAAGGCUCCUCCAGCACCUCCUCUCUUUAUCCAACAAAGGUAGUAGUGGCUCUCAACCUUACAAGUCCAUUCUCAGCUCAAACUGAAAACAUGCUGGUGGCUCUCUGUGCUCUCAUCCAGUCGCUUUUUUCCCCAAGUUCCUUAGACUGCCAUGACCUGGAUGACUGACAGCCUACACAGAUAUGUUGUUCCUACCAGAUUCUCCUCCUGCCACAUUCACGCUUCAGUUCUGGUCCGUAUUGCACCAACUACUACAGUCAGAUCCCAAACUAAGGACCAUACUCACCUCGUUCACCCGCCUGCCUCCUGCCUGUUGUCACUCCUCCGGGACUGGACAUCUUUCAUCGUACUCACCCAAGUGGACACUCUCACAGACACCUCCCCCAGGACUCACCAUCUCCAAUCUGCAAAGUUCCCUGUUCCUUGGCUCUCCGUGUGCCUCCUGUGUUUAAGCAUUUCAGCGCCCUCAAUCUUCCUCGGCUCUAGCUCUGUUUAAGUUUCAGUUUCUAGCCAUGUUCUUGUUUAAGUUCACAUUUUGUAAAUAAACCUUGUAAAUAGUU